rnacentral:rRNA from 1 species
UAAUACGUAGGAGGCAAGCGUUGUCCGGAAUUACUGGGUGUAAAGCGCGUGUAGGUGGUGGGCCAAGUCUGUGGUGAAAUCGCCCGGCUCAACUGGGCGGGGUCCGUGGAAACUGGUCGACUGGAGGACGGUAGAGGCGAGUGGAAUUCCCGGUGUAGUGGUGAAAUGCGUAGAGAUCGGGAGGAACACCAGUGGCGAAGGCGGCUCGCUGGGCCGGUCCUGACACUGAGACGCGAAGGCGUGGGGAGCGAACGGGAUUAGAUACCCCGGUAGUCCACGCAGUAAACGAUGCACACUAGGUGUGGGGGGUAUCGAGCCCCUCCGUGCCGUAGCCAACGCAGUAAGUGUGCCACCUGGGGAGUACGGCCGCAAGGUUA